UCGAGAAUUUUUCUCAAUGGGGGAAACCCUGAAGGAGCGACGCCGCGUGAAGGAUGAAGGUCUUCGGAUUGUAAACUUCUGUCAUUUGAGAACAAACUGCAUGGGUUAACUGCCUGUGCACUGAUAGUAUCAGAAGAGGAAGAGACGGCUAACUCUGUGCCAGCAGCCGCGGUAAUACAGAGGUCUCGAGCGUUGUUCGGAUUCAUUGGGCGUAAAGGGUGCGUAGGUGGUUAGGUAAGUCGGAUGUGAAAUCCCGGGGCUCAACCUUGGAACUGCAUUCGAUACUGCCUGACUAGAGUACUGGAGAGGAGAUUGGAAUUUACGGUGUAGCAGUGAAAUGCGUAGAUAUCGUAAGGAAGACCAGUGGCGAAGGCGGAUCUCUGGACAGUUACUGACACUGAGGCACGAAGGCCAGGGGAGCAAACGG
rnacentral:rRNA from 1 species